GACGAACGCUGGCGGCGUGCCUAAUACAUGCAAGUAGAACGCUGAAGAGAGGAGCUUGCUCUUCUUGGAUGAGUUGCGAACGGGUGAGUAACGCGUAGGUAACCUGCCUGGUAGCGGGGGAUAACUAUUGGAAACGAUAGCUAAUACCGCAUAAAAUGGAUUAUCGCAUGAUAAUCCAUUGAAAGGUGCAAAUGCAUCACUACCAGAUGGACCUGCGUUGUAUUAGCUAGUUGGUGGGGUAACGGCUCAUCAAGGCGACGAUACAUAGCCGACCUGAGAGGGUGAUCGGCCACACUGGGACUGAGACACGGCCCAGACUCCUACGGGAGGCAGCAGUAGGGAAUCUUCGGCAAUGGACGGAAGUCUGACCGAGCAACGCCGCGUGAGUGAAGAAGGUUUUCGGAUCGUAAAGCUCUGUUGUAAGAGAAGAACGAGUGUGAGAGUGGAAAGUUCACACUGUGACGGUAUCUUACCAGAAAGGGACGGCUAACUACGUG
rnacentral:rRNA from 1 species